UCACAACAGGCUGAAUUACCACGAUCCAUUAGCAAUAAUGAGGUCAGGGAACUUCUCCUGACAAGGCUGAUGGGGUUCUGUCAGCUUCCACUCCGGCUCUAAAAAGGCUUAAUUCGCAACGAGGCAUGCCUUCACAGAUCCUCAAGAACAAAUAAACGACACUCCAGAGAACCUGCGGACGGCCGGCUACUGAUCAGUUUCCUCCCACCUCAAGGACUCAGUAGGUGAAAGAAGUGUUGAAGAAGGUGUUCUGGCAGGAAGCUGACCGGUUGGAACAAGGUUAAGCAGAUUCUAUCCUGCUCGGGUUACAGCUGAAACCAAAGGCACCUGAGAGAGCCCAAACAGCUUGCAUCGAAUGCUAAAAAGUAGUCACAUGGAUUAUUAGGACUCUCACCUCUAUCUCCUGAGUGAACAAUAGCACAGGGGUUCAAGAAUUGAUGGAAGCAAGCAAUCUCCCAACCAUCUAUGGAAAGACUAAUCUUAUCUCAUACACUCAUGGCAUCUCCGAGCUGGAAGAUAUUAAACUCUAAGCUCUACAAACGAGGACUACCCUGGAGACAGUGAAGACACUGGCUGGAGAUUGGAAGGGAUUUCCAGCACAGAGAGCAGUCUGACUGAUGGAACCAGCUCAGCUGAGGUCCUCUUUGGGAACUGCUGCUAAGACAGCAG